rnacentral:rRNA from 1 species
UACGAAGGGGGCUAGCGUUGUUCGGAAUUACUGGGCGUAAAGCGCACGUAGGCGGAAUGUUAAGUCAGGGGUGAAAUCCCGGGGCUCAACCCCGGAACUGCCUUUGAUACUGGCAUUCUCGAGUCCGGAAGAGGUGAGUGGAAUUCCGAGUGUAGAGGUGAAAUUCGUAGAUAUUCGGAGGAACACCAGUGGCGAAGGCGGCUCACUGGUCCGGUACUGACGCUGAGGUGCGAAAGCUGGGGGAGCGAACGGG